GCUUGUCUCAAAGAUUAAGCCAUGCAUGUCUAAGUAUAAACGACUUUAUACUGUGAAACUGCGAAUGGCUCAUUAUAUCAGUUAUAGUUUCUUUGAUGGUUCUUGCUACUUGGAUAACCGUAGUAAUUCUAGAGCUAAUACAUGCAUAAAGCCCCGACUCUUGGGAGGGGUGUAUUUAUUAGAUGGAAACCAAUGCGGGGCAACCCGGGAUGUGGUGAUUCAUAAUAACUUUCGGAUCGAUCUUCGGAUCGAUGCAUCAUUCAAGUUUCUGCCCUAUCAGCUUUGGAUGGUAGGGUAUUGGCCUACCAUGGCUUUAACGGGUAACGGAGAAUUAGGGUUCGAUUCCGGAGAGGGAGCCUGAGAAAUGGCUACCACAUCCAAGGAAGGCAGCAGG
rnacentral:rRNA from 1 species